AGAACUUAGCAGAGAUGCUUUGGUGCCUUCGGGAACUCUGAGACAGUGCUGCAUGGCUGUCGUCAGCUCGUGUUGUGAAAUGUUGGGUUAAGUCCCGCAACGAGCGCAACCCUUAUCCUUUGUUGCCAGCGGUCCGGCCGGGAACUCAAAGGAGACUGCCAGUGAUAAACUGGAGGAAGGUGGGGAUGACGUCAAGUCAUCAUGGCCCUUACGAGUAGGGCUACACACGUGCUACAAUGGCGCAUACAAAGAGAAGCGACCUCGCGAGAGCAAGCGGACCUCAUAAAGUGCGUCGUAGUCCGGAUUGGAGUCUGCAACUCGACUCCAUGAAGUCGGAAUCGCUAGUAAUCGUGGAUCAGAAUGCCACGGUGAAUACGUUCCCGGGCCUUGUACACACCGCCCGUCACACCAUGGGAGUGGGUUGCAAAAGAAGUAGGUAGCUUAACCUUCGGGAGGGCGCUUACCACUUUGUGAUUCAUGACUGGGGUGAAGUCGUAACAAGGUAAGCGUAGUGCU
rnacentral:rRNA from 1 species